rnacentral:lncRNA from 1 species
ACGAUUAGGAACUAAAAAAGAGAAUACAAAACGGGAUAUAAAUAAUAGAAAUUGACAGAUAAAAAGGGAUCCUCAAAAGAACCAAACAGGUCCAGACAGACCAAAUUUUGUCACCAACAAUCUAACAUAAAUCUCUUCCUGCUCCAAGAUUCCCACGCUCAACUUUCACAACAUUCUAAAACGUAACUGACAUAGAAAACUCUUGUAUAGGGGCUUCGAAAUCUUAAUGAAAGCUAAAAUAUCAUCAUAUAUAUAAUGCGAUAGUUGAGCAUGAAAGGAGCUUGCUCGGUAGAGAGGAGAACAUCCGUUCAAGGGUUAAGCAUGACUUUUCAUAUCGACGCCGCCUCUUCUUAGAGCAGGUUUUUCAUUGAUGAAGAUUAUUCAACAAAUUUUUAUUUUAUUUUUUAAUUUUUGUGUGUAAAAAAACAAAUAAUUGGAAAUUAUUUAUUUACUAAGCCCCUGUUUAGUCCCUAUUUAAAAUUCAUUCUUCUCAUACUCAUUUUCAACUAAACAUUUUAUGGACCACUACUUUUAUGAAUUUUUUAACUACAUAUUUUAUCAACUUUUAUCAAAUGUACUAAAAAUUUGAUUUUCACCAAAAUCAAAUGGGGACUAAAGUUCUUGGUCUAGUUUUUAGCUAAAACCCUAUUAUAGUUCAUAAAUGACUACCCAUAAUGUCCCCAAAAAAAAAGUCUGGUUUGGUUCUUGAAAAAGAAUAAUUAAUGGUAAUUAAGAAUGAAAAAUUGAAGAAAUAAUAGGCCCUUUAAAACAAGAAUUAUCACUAAUUUCUUUUUUGUCAAUCCUCAUUUUAUUUAUCAACUUAAUUAAUAAAGGAAAAAAAUGAUGAAUUUAAUUAUCUUGAUAAAAAUAAGCCGGUGGCAACUUGCACUUGAUACCUAAAAUAAUAUAAGCCAAAUUUGGAGACUAAUAAUUCAUUAAUUUAUAUUCUAUUCAACAAGAAAGAACUAGGGAAUUCAAAUGAAUUUAGGGUUGCUUACUCUAUAUGAAUAAAGAUUUUCGUGAACCGAUAACAGGUGAAACUGCCACAUGAUCUGAUCUCUCCCCGAGUCGAUGUCGAUCAAAGGCAAGUUAAGAUCAGGCUGGCAGCUUCAUCUGAUACUGGUGCACGAUAUACAUGUGCAUGGUGACUGUGGCGGCAGCGACGGAGGCGGUGGAGGAGAGACUAACAGAGA